GUGUGUGUGUGUGUGUGUUUAACAGCUUGAUUCAAAAUCCUGCAUAUAGAUUGCUUAAAAAAUUGUUCACAUUUCCUUUGAGCUUUUAACCCACCCUAUAUUUCUUUCUUCUUUUUCUCCCUGUUACAAUUUUCUACUCCCUAUCUGUGCUCAUUUGUAAGCUUUACUACCUGGCUCUUUAUUAGGGAUUUCCUGAAAAUUAUUUUACCUCUCCAGGGGCAAUACCGAUGCUUUUAAACUUAUUUUCUUACCUGAUUGCCUUAGCUAAAUCCUCCACUGCAACAUUAGACAGAGAGAAUGAGAGGAAACAACCUGUCCUGUUUCAUGGGAAACUUAUCCUGCAUUUCAGCACGAAGCAUGAGCCAUAGACAACUUAAGGCUUCCGAGGGUUCAUUGUGUGGUAGCCUGGCCUAGAGUGGGUGUGCUUGGCAGGACAUCAUGGUGGCAAGAGCACAGGGCAGAGGACUUUCUUCACCUCAUGGGGGUCAGAGAGGAGCCGGACACAGCACACUCCAAGAAGUCACCCUCGGUGACCCACUUCUUCCGAACUGUGAACCUUGAGAGGAGGCUUAUCAUUCCGGGAUGUGCUGUUAUAUUUCCAUAAUCCUUGUAAACCAGCUUCACAUCCUUUAUGUUGGGAAUCAGGUAAUAAAAUAAAG